UUUUUGGAGAGUUUGAUCCUGGCUCAGGACGAACGCUGGCGGCGUGCCUAACACAUGCAAGUCGAACGGUCUAAUGCUUAACACU
rnacentral:rRNA from 1 species